rnacentral:rRNA from 1 species
UACGUAGGGCGCAAGCGUUAUCCGGAAUUAUUGGGCGUAAAGAGCUCGUAGGCGGUUUGUCGCGUCUGCCGUGAAAGUCCGGGGCUCAACUCCGGAUCUGCGGUGGGUACGGGCAGACUAGAGUGAUGUAGGGGAGACUGGAAUUCCUGGUGUAGCGGUGAAAUGCGCAGAUAUCAGGAGGAACACCAAUUGCGAAGGCAGCUCGCUGGGACGUAACUGACGCUGAGACGCGAAGCGUGGGGAGCAACAGG